UUUUUGGGCUGCUUUGGGCUUGAUUAUUGGGCUCACUGGGUCGGGUUGCGGGUCAGCUAGGUCGGGCCGAAUUCGGGUCGGGUCGGCCCGAUUUAUUUUUUUUUUCUUUUUUUCCCUCUUCCUUCUUCUUUUCUCUUUCUUUCUUUCUUCUUCUUCUUCUUCCUUCUUCUUCUUCUUCAAAACCGAGCCCCCACACCGUCGCUUCUUUCACGCCGCCGUUCGAGCUGCCACCGUCGACUCCACCGGACCUUUCUCUUUCCUUUCCUUUCUCUCCCCUUUUUUCUUAUUUUUGAAGCUUUUUUUUUUCUCUUUGAAAUUUUUUUUUGGAGAUUCGUGGGUGGGGACCCCGAUUUUAGGGGUAAAACACCCCUUUUAUAGAUGAUUUUUUCUUCUUUUUGCAGGGAGCAGGUGGCUAGGGGAGAGGGAGGCCAUGCCUUAGGCUGGUGGCCGGAAAUCACGGGGGUAGGUGUGCAAGUUGCCGCCAGAAGGACUAAAUUGCAACUGCAGUAAAACUUUUGGGGCCAAAACGAAUUUUAAGAAAAUUUAGGGGUCAAAAUGUAAUUUCAAAAAGUUAGUGGGUCAAAAUGUAAUUUCAAAAAGUUUAGGGGUCAAAAUGUAUUUUUUGAUUUUUUAUUUUUUGAAAUUUUUUUUGAAUUUUUUUAAAUAUAUAUAUAUAUAAACACGACAAAACCCGGACAAAAUU
rnacentral:lncRNA from 1 species